CAAAUGAGAUUAGCACAACUUCUCCUGUAUCUUACAUGACUGAUGAACAGUGGAGGGCAUUAGUUGCAAAGUGGUCUGAUCCAAAGAACAUGGAAAUAAGUGAAAAGAACAAGCAGAACCGCAGUCAAGUCAAGUUUCAUCAGGCUACGGGUUCUCGCUGCUAUGUGGCACACUUACAUGCAUAUAAGCAGAAGAGAAACCGAGAAGAACCCA